UACGUAGGGACCAAGCGUUGUUCGGAUUUACUGGCGUAAAGGGCGCGUAGGCGGCCACCGCAAGUCAAUUGUGAAAUCUCCGGGCUUAAACUCGGAAAGGUCAACUGAUAACUGCGGGGCUAGAGUGCGGAAGGGGCAACUGGGAAUUCUCGGUGUAGCGGUGGAAAAUGCGUAGAUAUCGAGAGGAACACCUGCGGCGAAGGCGGGUUGCUGGGCCGACACUGACGCUGAUGCGCGAAAGCCAGGGGAGCGAACGGG
rnacentral:rRNA from 1 species